UACGUAGGUCGCAAGCGUUGUCCGGAUUUAUUGGGCGUAAAGAGCGUGUAGGCGGCCAGGUAGGUCAGCUGUGAAAACUCGAGGCUCAACCUCGAGACGCCGGUUGAAACCAUCUGGCUAGAGUCCGGAAGAGGAGAGUGGAAUUCCUGGUGUAGCGGUGAAAUGCGCAGAUAUCAGGAAGAACACCCGUGGCUAAGGCGGCUCUCUAGUACGGUACUGACGCUGAGACGCGAAAGCGUGGGGAGCGAACAGG
rnacentral:rRNA from 1 species